CCCAUGAUCGAAUGAUCUAGACUGAAACUUAUAGGUCCAUUGAAGAUGUGGUAUGCCCCAAAAUUCUCCUAGACUGGGAUGUCCUUAAAGUCCUAAUGGUUUGAUGCACGGCCUACCAAAUUGUUAAGAAGAAAAUAUAGCAACAGCCCAAAGAAAAGGUCAAACUUGGAUGUCUAGGAUCUGCCAAUCUGGGAAUUUUCUGUCUAUACACCACCAGCAGUGGGACCAAUCAGAGCAAAGGGACAAACUCAGCUAGUGGACCAACAACUUUCAGUCUUUCACCAACUUCCCCGCCUAGAUCCUACCACAAAAGCCAUUCAUAAGGUAAUUCCUUUGAACCAGGUCCAAAUCAACUGUGUAGACUCGGUUUGGAGUCAACACAGUAACAAUUAUGAUAAGUCAUGAUUUAAAAUAAUCUUAGUCAUAGGAGUGUAAGGCCUUAAUCUGACCCUAUAAAUUCAUGGUUUAGGUUAGGAUUCGAUCCUAAGAGGCAUAGACAUCUUCUAACAAUGAUAUUAAGCAAAUUAAACCAUAAGGUGAUGAAUCAUUCCCCUUGAGUUUUCAUCUUUUAUGUUUGUUUAAGUAAUAGUUCAACUUAUAUUUCAGUUCAUAAUUAUCUCCAAUUCAUGAUUACUCAUGUUAGUUAUUGAAUCUGAUUAUCAAUGUUAUAUGCUUAACCUUUAACUCGUAUGAACAUUUAUAUGUUGUACUUGUAUAUGUUUCCAUACUUGUAGAUUUUCUAAAUUGGCUGUUUGUAAAUUCUAAAAAGAUGCAAAUUUUAUCAUUCUCUUUUUGUGAGAGGUAUAUAUUGGUUUAUAUGCAGGCAUUUCAAAAUCAAUGUAUAAAAUUGUAACACAUUUUGGCCAACAAUCUUUAAAUGUUCUAAGACAAUGUCCUCAACUCGUAAUGAUUCAUGCAUUCACAUCAUGCUCAUUUUAAAGGGUUAAUAAUAUCUCUAUUUCUUUAAUGCAGGACUAUUUGGCAACGUAAAUAUUUGGAAUGGGUGGUAUAGGAAAAGGUAAUUAAAUAUUUUGUACAUAUUUUCUAAAUAUAAUUUAUGGCUGAUUAGUUAUUUGAUAUCAUUUGACUAUGACUACAUAUGAUGCUUGAUAUACACACUUAAAAAAAUAGGGAUUUUUCCAUAUGUCUCCAUAACUUUUUCGCUAUGACCAAAAACCUCAUGCUUUUCUCAAAACCAGCCCAUAUUUUAACAGCACAACUAUUAACAUCGAAGACUUGAGUGAACCACAUCGUUGGAAGCAGUAGUGACAAUGACGCCCACGCCCACGGUUGAAACCUUCGUAUGGUCCACGGUUAGGUUUAUUUUCUAUCCUCAUGAGGUCACACAGACCAUAUUUUAACAGCACAGCUAUUAUUAUUUUUAUUUUUUUCUACUGAUGAAGCUUUAUGUUGUACUAGCAAUGUGAGAUUCUCAGACUUCCUAUCAGCUGCCAAAUAUCAAUACUAAUGCAAUACCAUUAAAAAAGUAUGUUACUGAUGUAUCAAACCAAACAAGGCAAAAGAGAGUUCUAACAUAGGCUACUCUAGUAUUAACACUAGAGAAGGAAAAUCCUCUACACAGAGCUACUAGACACACUUAAUAUGCUGAAUAUAACAACUACAGCUUGAAAGCAAACACUACUCAUUAUAUACUUGCAAAAUAGCUAAUACUGCUAACUACUACUGGGAUUCAAGCAAUCCAACCAGUCCCAAAACCCACUUUCGUCUACAAGAGUUGUUCACUCCACGAGCAAGAUGACAAACUGAGCCGCAUUUCGAAUGCAAGUGAAGGAAGAAAUUCCUUGAACAAGGAAAGCCGCCUAGUUGACAUUGAAGUUACUUAAGAUAUGUUAUUUAAUUUCCUAUUUUCCUAAGGAAUAGGCCUAAAUGGCUCAUUAUGCUUUAACAUCGAGGUGUUAUCCUAAAAUCUAUAAUUUAAUUAUUUCAAAUUGUUAAAGUUGUAUUACUACACGUUCACAAAGCUCUUAAUCCUUACUAACUACUUUGUAAUUAGUAAGGAAGUUUUGUAAAAAUCGUACCUUGGUGGGCUUGCUUAUGGGUGUAUCCAAGGCGUACAUGUGAUGAGUUCCUCGUUCUUGUGCUUAAGGUUACGAGGCUUGAGCAGGAUUUGAAGAAGCCUGAAUCGGUGGCUGAGGUUGUUGUACUGGAGGGAAGAUCCUCUCAUCUCAUUGUUUCUUGAAACAUCGGCUUAAGAUAUGACCCGAUUUGCCACAAUAGCUGCAAAGCUUAUCUUAACUCGAAGAAUGAAUUGGCUGAUAUAUGAAUUUCACCCUCUUCUCAGUCAUAGGAGAUGCAGACGGCGUCAUCUUGGCUUUACUUGCUAAACCUCGAAUAAGGGUACGUGCUUUGGUUAUAUGCGAAGUCCCAUAGUGUUGUCCACCUAAGAUUUUGAUUUACCUCAUUUAUGGGAUAUAAUAUUAAAAUGAUGUGUAAAAAUUGAUGGAGGGUGUGGAUAGAACACAUAGAUCAUGGUGAGGCCCACAGAGCACCUAUCACUAGUCACAUGGCUAAUGGCAACGUCAUUAGCCAAACCGCAUCUGUUGUAUUCUACUUGAUGCUUGGAUGUUUUAAUAUAGAUAGUUCGAUUUGAA